rfam:Asian citrus Psyllid, Diaphorina citri - Florida Strain, whole genome shotgun sequence.
GCCUAGUUAGCUUAGUUGGUAAUGCGUCUGCCUUGUAAGUGUAAGUGCUAGGCCGCGGGUUCGAUUCCCGCCCGGGGCG